GAUGAACGCUAGCGAUAGGCUUAACACAUGCAAGUCGAGGGGCAGCAUGGUCUUAGCUUGCUAAGACUGAUGGCGACCGGCGCACGGGUGCGUAACGCGUAUGCAACUUGCCUCACAGAGGGGGAUAACCCGUCGAAAGACGGACUAAUACCGCGUACACUCUAUUUUGGGCAUCCAAGGUAGAGGAAAUGAAAUUCGCUGUGAGAUAGGCAUGCGUCCCAUUAGCUAGUUGGUGAGGUAACGGCUCACCAAGGCGACGAUGGGUAGGGGAACUGAGAGGUUGAGCCCCCAGACUGGUACUGAGACACGGACCAGACUCCUACGGGAGGCAGCAGUGAGGAAUAUUGGUCAAUGGGCUAGAGCCUGAACCAGCCAAGUCGCGUGAAGGAUGACUGUCUUAUGGAUUGUAAACUUCUUGUGUAGGGGAAUAAAGAGGGGCACGUGUGCCCCGGUGAAUGUACCCGACGAAUAAGCAUCGGCUAACUCCGUG
rnacentral:rRNA from 1 species